rnacentral:rRNA from 1 species
GACGAAUGCUGGCUGCGUGCUUAACACAUGCAAGUCGAACGGUGAAGGAGGGCUUGCCCUCCGGAUCAGUGGCGAACGGGUGAGUAACACGUGGGCAACCUGCCCCUCACUCUGGGAUAACGCCGGGAAACCGGCGCUAAUACCGGAUACGACCAGGCGCGACAUCUCGCCUGGUGGAAAGAAUUUCGGUGAGGGAUGGGCCCGCGGCCUAUCAGCUUGUUGGUGGGGUAACGGCCCACCAAGGCGACGACGGGUAGCCGGCCUGAGAGGGCGACCGGCCACACUGGGACUGAGACACGGCCCAGACUCCUACGGGAGGCAGCAGUGGGGAAUAUUGCGCAAUGGGCGAAAGCCUGACGCAGCGACGCAGCGUGAGGGACGAAGGCCUUCGGGUUGUAAACCUCUUUCAGCGGGGACGAAGCGAAAGUGACGGUACCCGCAGAAGAAGCACCGGCUAACUACGUGCCAGCAGCCGCCGUAAGAC